rnacentral:rRNA from 1 species
CCUAGUGGAGACAGCAGUGAGGAAUAUUGGUCAAUGGACGAAAGGCUGAACCAGCCAAGUCGCGUGAAGGAUGCAGGAUCUAUGGUUUGUAAACUUCUUUUAUAGGGGAAUAAAGGUAUCCACGGGUGGAUAUUUGCAUGUACCCUAUGAAUAAGCAUCGGCUAACGCCGUGACAGCAGCCGCGGUAAUACGGAGGAUGCGAGCGUUAUCCGGAUUUAUGGGGUUUAAAGGGUGCGUAGGUUGUUUUUUAAGUCAUCGGUGAAAGUUGGUGGCUCAACAAUAAAAUUGCCGUUGAAACUGGGAGACUUGAGUGUGUUUGAGGUAGGCGGAAUGCGUGGUGUAGCGGUGAAAUGUAUAGAUAUCACGCAGAACUCCGAUUGCGAAGGCAGCUUACUAAGCCAUAACUGACACUGAAGCACGAAAGCGUGGGGAUCAAACAGGAUUAGAUACCCCUGUAGUC